UAGGGAAUAUUGCACAAUGGAGGAAACUCUGAUGCAGCGACGCCGCGUGAGUGAUGAAGGCCUUCGGGUCGUAAAGCUCUGUCGCAGGGGAAUAACACAAUGAAGGUACCCUGUAAGAAAGGAUCGGCUAACUUCGUGCCAGCAGCCGCGGUAAGACGAGGGAUCCUAGCGUUGUUCGGAAUCAUUGGGCGUAAAGCGGGUGUAGGUGGCUAUGUAAGUCAGGUGUGAAAGCCUAGGGCUCAACCCUAGAAGUGCAUCUGAUACUGCGUAGCUUGAGUGCUAGAGAGGUUACUAGAAUUGUUGGUGUAGUGGUGAAAUACGUAGAUAUCAACAGGAAUACCGGUGGCGAAGGCGGGUAACUGGCUAGACACUGACACUCAGACCCGAAAGCGUGGGGAUCAAACA
rnacentral:rRNA from 1 species